rnacentral:rRNA from 1 species
UACGGAGGGUGCGAGCGUUGUCCGGAAUCACUGGGCGUAAAGGGCGCGUAGGCGGCGCGGGGAGUCAACGGUGAAAGCUCGGCGCUCAACGCCGAGUCGGCCGUCGAUACUCCCGUGCUCGAGCACUGUAGAGGCAGGUGGAAUUCCGGGUGUAGCGGUGGAAUGCGUAGAGAUCCGGAAGAACACCAGUGGCGAAGGCGGCCCGCUGGGCAGUGGCUGACGCUGAGGCGCGACAGCGUGGGGAGCAAACAGG